UUAUGAUAUAAUAGCGUCAACGCACAUUUAUUUCGAUUUUAGUAUUUACAUUUUAAUGUUAUUACAAAUUUCAUCUGCUAUGAUUGCAUUAGUAUUUUGUCAUUUGAAUGUAGAAUGUCUCUUUUUAUAACAUAAACUGCUCAUUUCAUUUUGUUCUGAUGAUAACUAUAUUUCAGACAUCUACAAAAACAGAGAUUAAAACAUAUGAACAGUAAUGAGAGAUGGUUUCAGGCAGCAAAGAAUUGAGGAAGAAAUGCAUGAAAAACGUGAACAACAGAAAAUGGACAUUUCAAAAUUAAACACUAUGAUUAAUCCGGCAUAGGAACAGAUGAUAAAAUUAAGAAAUAGAUAUGAAAAAGCCAUAACACAUAGGAAUGAGAGAGGUAUUGAAAGAAAGAAAAUUGAUUGAAAGAAAUGAGGUGUGCAUUUUCUAGGAAAAAGUUGACAUUCAAGAUGAAAUGAUCCGGAAUGGUAACGUAAAGUUGCAAGCUAGGGAAGAAGAGAUCCGGUUUUUACAGAUGAACAAAAAGAAA